rnacentral:rRNA from 1 species
AACGAACGCUGGCGGCAUGCCUAACACAUGCAAGUCGAACGCCCUCUUCGGAGGGAGUGGCGCACGGGUGCGUAACGCGUGGGAACCUGCCCUUAGGUUCGGAAUAACUCAGAGAAAUUUGAGCUAAUACCGGAUAAUGUCUUCGGACCAAAGAUUUAUCACCUUUGGAUGGGCCCGCGUUGGAUUAGCUAGUUGGUGGGGUAAAGGCCUACCAAGGCGACGAUCCAUAGCUGGUCUGAGAGGAUGAUCAGCCACACUGGGACUGAGACACGGCCCAGACUCCUACGGGAGGCAGCAGUGGGGAAUAUUGGACAAUGGGCGAAAGCCUGAUCCAGCAAUGCCGCGUGAGUGAUGAAGGCCUUAGGGUUGUAAAGCUCUUUUACUGGGGAUGAUAAUGACAGUACCCAGAGAAUAAGACUCCGGCUAACUCCGUGCCAGCAGCCGCGGUAAUGUGACUACUG